AUUGCACUUCUCUAUUUGUUGGAGCCACAAUAACAUUCUUUGUAUUUGUUUUGAUUCAUGUGAAUAGAUGCAGUUUUGUUGUUUGUACACAGGGUGGCGCACUAGAGCAGGGAAACACAGGUAACACAGGUAAGGUGCAGGUGAUGAGCAGCAGGUGUGUGACGGUAAGCAAACAGUUUUUUAAACGGUCAAGUGUGGCAGCAUAAAUAGUUUGUAGCGUGGAAACUAAAGUUGCUGAAUGGAAACUUGGACACUGAACUGUUGGAUGGACACUAACCUGUGGUUGACUCAGAAACUGUUACCUGAGAUUAACAUGCAACGUUUUACCUGUGAGAGUUGAGCACGUGUUAAAAUAAAUGGGUCAUCGCACUCAAAGAAACCAGA